AUUGAACGCCGGCGGAAUGCUUUACACAUGCAAGUCGAACGGCAGCACGGACUUCGGUCUGGUGGCGAGUGGCGAACGGGUGAGUAAUGUAUCGGAACGUGCCCAGUCGUGGGGGAUAACGUAGUGAAAAUUACGCUAAUACCGCAUACGAUCUAUGGAUGAAAGCGGGGGAUCGCAAGACCUCGCGCGAUUGGAUCGGCCGAUAUCAGAUUAGGUAGUUGGUGGGGUAAAGGCCCACCAAGCCAACGAUCUGUAGCUGGUCUGAGAGGACGACCAGCCACACUGGAACUGAGACACGGUCCAGACUCCUACGGGAGGCAGCAGUGGGGAAUUUUGGACAAUGGGCGAAAGCCUGAUCCAGCCAUUCCGCGUGCAGGAUGAAGGCCCUCGGGUUGUAAACUGCUUUUGUACAGAACGAAAAGGUUUCUACUAAUACUAGGAGCUCAUGACGGUACUGUAAGAAUAAGCACCGGCUAACUACGUGCCAGCCGCCGCUGUAA
rnacentral:rRNA from 1 species